rnacentral:rRNA from 1 species
UACGUAGGGGGCGAGCGUUGUCCGGAUUCAUUGGGCGUAAAGCGCUUUAAGGCGGUUCGCUAAGUCGGGUGUGAAACCUCCAGGCUCAACCUGGAGACCGCCACUCGAUACUGGCGUGACUAGAGUCCGGUAGGGGACCACGGAAUUCCUGGUGUAGCGGUGAAAUGCGCAGAUAUCAGGAGGAACACCAGUGGCGAAGGCGGUGGUCUGGGCCGGAACUGACGCUGUAGAGCGAAAGCGUGGGGAGCGAACAGGA